UACGGAGGGGGCUAGCGUUGUUCGGAAUUACUGGGCGUAAAGCGCGCGUAGGCGGACCUGCAAGUCGGGGGUGAAAGCCCGAGGCUCAACCUCGGAACUGCCCUUCGAUACUGAGAGUCUCGAGUCCGGGAGAGGUGAGUGGAACUGCGAGUGUAGAGGUGAAAUUCGUAGAUAUUCGCAAGAACACCAGUGGCGAAGGCGGCUCACUGGCCCGGUACUGACGCUGAGGUGCGAAAGCGUGGGAGCAAACAGGG
rnacentral:rRNA from 1 species